AGAGUUUGAUCCUGGCUCAGGAUGAACGCUAGCUACAGGCUUAACACAUGCAAGUCGAGGGGAAACGAUAGGAAAAGCUUGCUUUUCCUAGGCGUCGACCGGCGCACGGGUGAGUAACGCGUAUCCAACCUGCCCAUGUCUGGGGAAUAACCCGUCGAAAGGCGGACUAACUCCCCAUGGUCUCCGAUGAGGACAUCCGAAUUGGAGUAAAGCUUCGCGGACAUGGAUGGGGAUGCGUCUGAUUAGGUAGUAGGCGGGGUAACGGCCCACCUAGCCUACGAUCAGUAGGGGUUCUGAGAGGAAGGUCCCCCACAUUGGAACUGAGACACGGUCCAAACUCCUACGGGAGGCAGCAGUGAGGAAUAUUGGUCAAUGGACGCGAGUCUGAACCAGCCAAGUAGCGUGCAGGAUGACGGCCCUAUGGGUUGUAAACUGCUUUUGCGCGGGGAUAACACCCUCCACGUGCUGGAGGUCUGCAGGUACCACGCGAAUAAGGACCGGCUAAUUCCGUGCCAGCAGCCGCGGUAAUACGGAAGGUCCGGGCGUUAUCCGGAUUUAUUGGGUUUAAAGGGAGCGUAGGCCGUGAGGUAAGCGUGUUGUGAAAUGUAGGCGCCCAACGUCUGCACUGCAGCGCGAACUGCCCCACUUGAGUGCGCGCAACGCCGGCGGAACUCGUCGUGUAGCGGUGAAAUGCUUAGAUAUGACGAAGAACCCCGAUUGCGAAGGCAGCUGGCGGGAGCGUAACUGACGCUGAAGCUCGAAAGCGCGGGUAUCGAACAGGAUUAGAUACCCUGGUAGUCCGCGCGGUAAACGAUGGAUGCCCGCUGUGGCGCGCCUGGCGUGCCGCGGCUAAGCGAAAGCAUUAAGCAUCCCACCUGGGGAGUACGCCGGCAACGGUGAAACUCAAAGGAAUUGACGGGGGCCCGCACAAGCGGAGGAACAUGUGGUUUAAUUCGAUGAUACGCGAGGAACCUUACCCGGGCUUGAACUGCAGGAGAACGAUUCAGAGAUGAUGAGGUCCUUCGGGACUCCUGUGGAGGUGCUGCAUGGUUGUCGUCAGCUCGUGCCGUGAGGUGUCGGCUUAAGUGCCA
rnacentral:rRNA from 1 species